AGUGUACGGAGCAGAGCUACAAAGCCAGUUCACAGAAGUCUAAGUGUUCUUCGAAAUCCUGCUUCGUCUUAAGUAUUCAGAAACGUGGGGGAGAUUAAACAGAAUCUUGGUUUGUUUUAAUAUAGAAGUCUUAUUUAUAUUACUUAGCGAGGAAUAAAUUUGGUCCUUGAGGGACAUAUGCCACAUUUAUUUUGUGGCUUCCAUACCUCUGCUUCCGAGGAAAUGAGCCCAUGCCAUUCUUUGCAAUAAUCAUAGUUAUUUGUUAUUUUUUAACACCUACAAUAUGCCAACCACUGUGCUAGGCUCUUCACUCUCAAAGGCCAUAUAAUUCUCACCACGGCCCCAGGUGGUAUUAUUUUCUCCAUAUCAAAGAUGAAAAAAUUAAAGUUCAGAGAUUUAAAAUGAUUUUUUUUUCCCCAGGCCUCCAAGACAGUAAAGUGGAAAUGAUAUUUAAACCCAGUUCUCAAGAUCUUCAAAGCUCAUCUUUUAUACUACAACUUGCCCUUAAUAAGCAACAGCCUUACAUUUUCAGAGACAACCUUUCUCUUAUCUUCUCCAAAUAUCCUUGGGGGAAAAGGAAACUAAAAGAGAAUUACAUUCCAUUUUCAAAAAGGAACCACAAAUUGGUAGGCAUUCAUUAAUUAGAGAACAUAGACGGAAGAGGCAGAGGUUUUUCUUCCUUUCUUUGGUUUUUUUUUUAAGUCACUCUAUCUCAGAAAUCCUGGAGCCCAUCUGAACACACCUAUUGGAAUCCUAGAUACAUAUGUGUGGUGAAUAAAACUCCAGGCACCUAGAAGGAAAUGUGAAUCACCUGGCAAGGUCAAAGAGGCAAGGUGAGGAAACAGGUGUUGUUCUCUACAAUGGAGACCUUCUCCAUGCCAGGUAUUGGGGAGGCCAUGAUAUCAUCAGUGAACUAGAAGUGAUUUUGGAAAACAAAUAAAAAAUCAAUAUGAGGAGCUUCGAAGGCAAUCCAAGAAAUUUCUAGAAUACAGGAAAAGCAGAAAGUUAGUGAGAGAGAUUCAGCCUGUUUCACUGCCUCAGUCUAUAGCAAGAAAUAUGCUAAACCAGUGGUUCUUGGAUCUUGUUCAUGCCCCAGAGCCACCUUGUCAAAACACAGAUCUCGGGCCUUACCCCCAGGUUUCCUGACUCAGUAGGUGUAGGCCUGGUGCCCGAAAAUUUGCAUUUCUACUGUGUUCAUAGUGACACUGACGCUGCAGGUGCAGGGGCCACACUUUGACCACCACUAACUGCUGAACUAUUCUUGGGGCCAGUGGGAGGGAGAUGUGGACACAUGGGGCGUCCUGAACCUGGGGAAUGGAGUGGGGCAGACUGGUCGGCAUCCACUGGGCCACAUUUCCACGCUAUCAGUCAGCCAGGUGACCAGAGGACGGUUUAUUGGUGUGACCCACCUACAUAACAAGGGCUAAGGGAAGAAGUUACACUUUGGAGGUAGACUUUACCCUAACCCUCACUCUCACUGGAGCUGGAUGCAAAUACUAGCUCUGAGGUUUAAUAGCCGUGCACAUUAGGGCAAGGUACUUCCUCUCUUCAAGUUUCCUUUUGCUUAUCUGCCCCCAGGAGAUCAUAGUACCUGACUUGUAGAACUGUUAUGAAAACUAAAGAAGAUAUAGGCGAAGAAUCUGCUGCCAAAAAGUAGAUGUUCAAGAAUUGAUACUGUUUUAGCAAACUGGAUAAACUCACCCAACUUCCCCUGAGGCUACUAACACUGGAAAAAUGAGGUCAGAGCCAACUUGAGUUAUUCCUCCUGGCUUGAGCCUGACCUUAUGUCAGGGCUGCAGCUUCAGGGAGUCAAGGCUGGUUUGAAGAGCAAUUUACAAACCAGGGGUAGUUAUUAGACCUGGAAGAAUGAGAGCUCUGUGGCCCUCAACUCACAACUUGGGCAACUGCCAAGUGAGAAGAUGGGAAGACCUGAACUCUUCCACCAACACAAAGAAUUCUCUAAGCCUUUUGGCCUUUUACCACUUUUCUUCCAGCUCUGUAUAAACCUCUCAUCUUGGCACCCCUGGAUUCAGGGAAAGGGAAAUGGCUAAAGACAUCUGUAUCAGAAACAACAUGUUAGCUCAUACCAAUAGUCUACACCUAGGUAAAUUUUGGUGGUGGCACCCAAUCCAGGUAGGUGGUGGGUCUGGAACUCUGAUCCUUUGCGAUCUUACCUGUCUGUGGUUGGGAUGAUAGCCCAAGAAUGAUAUUGUCAUUUUCUAAUAUACACAACACUGGAAAAUAGUGUCAUGAACCUGGAACUGUGCACCCUCUCGAAUUUGAUGACCUUCUAUUAUUUUAUCCUUGAUCUCGGAGGGGAAUCCGUGUCCAAUUAUUAUUUUUUUUUUAAAGAAGGUAAUUAUACCUAGUAUUCUCUGUAGAACAACACCGCAAAGGCAAGUUAGUUACUAUCUGACCUAAUUAGGUAUGUAACUUUUAAAAUUUGUACUAGCUUCUUCAAAAAGAAAAGCUGAAGUUAUUUUAGACAGUGCAGUUAUAAUGACACAAUGAUACAUGGGUCUAAUGAGUAAUUUUAUCCAAUUAAUUAUUUCAGAGAGGAUAAAUUUUUAUGCUUGAAAAAAAACCAUGCCAGCUUUUUUAAUGUUUUGAUCUUUGUAACUAAUUUUAAAGAUCACACUGUGCCAGCUCCAUUUGCUCUGUGAGUCUCACAACGGUCCCAGUCAAAAGCAAUAACAUUGGAAUUUGACCGAAGUUCCAGUCUUUAUAGUCUCUCAGUGUGUCCUGUCGCCCUGGGUGAUUAAAGUCAGUUGGUGGAAUUAGCUUUCAGAAUUUUCACGGUUUUAAUAUCAUCACUUCAAUGAGGCAGCUGUGAGCAAGCGGGCCAGCUGAGCUCUUGAAAUAAGGAACACCUGAAUUAAUCACCAGUUUCCAACCACAUCCCACCUGCCCUGAUCAACGGGCAAAUGAUGGUUUGUACACUGUGGAGGUAUUUUUCUGGGGUCAGUAAUGAAGGGAUGGCUUCCAUUUCCCAGCAGUUUGUGUCCGGCUCCUCACAAUUUGGCUGAUGCUUUGUGCCUACUACAGAACUCCGUUUCUAGGUAAUAUCCAUUAAGAUGUCUCUUGAAGACAAGAUAUCCAAAUGGCGGAUCCUCUGCACCUAUCCACUUGAGUGAGGUCAUAUAUUAAGAAGCAUGUUUUGAUUAAAUAUCUUAAUUCUUUAUGACAGUGGUUCUUAAACGUCAGCAAGCAUCAGAAUCACCUGGGGGCGUAUUCAAACACACAUUGCUGACCCCGGAGUUUCUGAUUCAGUACCACGGGGGCAGUCAACCACGAAAAGCUACAACCAGUGCUGUCAAGUUCCACAAAACAAAAGGGAAACCGAUUAAUCAAAACGAAGAAGAAGAAGAGGCUGGCAGAACCUCAGCACCGGUCUCAGCCACACCGUGGCUACACCCACCCAGAUGCCACCCCUGGCUAUCAGGCAACCCCCCCCCCCGCCUGGCUGCUGCCAGAGCCUGUGUUAAUGUGGGGUCACUAAGUCUUUGGCCUCUCUCCCAAGAAUCCAUCUCCUCAAUAACAGGGCCAGCAAUUUUGUUGUGCUCCCCUAGUAAAAAUUCCAGAAUGGUCCCCUGAAACUGACAACUGGGAAAUAAAAUAAGUCAAUAAAGUAAGCAAUCGGAUUUCCAGCACUUUUUGCAGUGUAGUGGCUACUACAUAAUAUCUACAUCCAUGAGAGGAGAUGAGGGUACUACGUCCUGCUAAGACUCCAUCCUGUUCCCUGAUGGCUCGUAAACUUCCUCCUAUCGAAUCCCAGUCUUGGGAACAAUCACUCCCUAGCAAAUCGAGUGGACAUAGUGAUCCGCAUGCAUUGGAGAGGGUUUAAAGUGAAUGUGAAGUUCAAGUGGGGUGCUUUAUGAAGCCUUAGAGGUAUCUCUUGUUCCAUUAGCAUAACCACCAAGAAGUGGGGUCUUUCAGGGGUUUUUACUUUCUGGGAUCCCAAGCCACAUGGAGAUGAAUUUUCUUUUGACCUUCCUUCUCCAUAAGGGAGGUGCUUCAGGGUACCAAGGUCAAUGGGUAGGAGGCCAUGAGGUGGCCGUUCCAGAAGCUUUCAGGAAGAGCACCAAGAUUCUUUCCAGUGUGCAAUUUCCAGCACUCCCGCCAUUUGUCCGACCUUGGCCCAGAGGGAGAACCUGCACCUUCUGGUGUGUUCUGGUCAACGCACUGCUUGUCCCUUGCAGAAGCCUGCUUGGGCACCUCACAGUGGUAGCCUUCAGUGUCCACCCAGAAGUGAUAUAUCCCAUAAUAUUCACUAAUCGACCUGGCUCUCCUUCCAUCGCAGUGCACAGAAGAAUGUGUUUCCUUGCUCUCCUGAAGUUUGACGGGUCUGUGUGGCUUGCUCUGGCCAAUGACUGAGGAGUGGAAGUCACAGGUGUCACACCAAAGCGGAAACAUUUCAGAGCCAUUUUCCAUGCUCCCUGUCUCCUGCCACAUGAGCUGCGAAGGCCAAGGAAGACAUAUUUGAGAAAGGAAAAUUCAAGCAGAGACCUGAACAAUGAGUACAUUGGACUGAUAUGGACCAAAGGAGAAUAACAUGCCAGAUGAAAGGAACAGCCUGUGCAAAGCCCCUAAGGAGGAAGAGCCCAAAGGAAGCCAGUUGGGCUGGAGUGCAGGGAGCAAGAAGGACAGCAAGAGGCCGUAGCGGUAAGCAGGGGCUACAUGGUGCAGAGCCUUGUCUGCUCUGUUUGCUUUGAUCUCGAGUCAUGUCCCAAAGAAUGGAAGGAAGGAAGGAGGGUUUGUGCACAAUGCCAUUUCAAAGUGUUGAACUCAGUAUUUUUAUGAUGGUAAGCACUGUUCCAAAGAGUUAGGGUUAGUGUCAAGACACUGACUCCAAUGGGGAGCCUUUGAGGUUUUAUAAAAUGGGUAAUCACAAUAGAUCUGAGCUUUAGGUUAGGAAGGUAAAUCAGAAUAAGUCAGGUUAAAUCAGGUUAGAAUGAGUUAGAUCAUUCUGGCUGCUCACUAGAGGACAGGAUGCGGGGGUGGGCAAAAGUGGAACUCCACGUAGGAGGCCUUUGCAAGUUGCCUGGAUGGGAUACAAGGGAGGCACAGACUGGAAUGCUGGUUAGGAAGGGAGCAAACAGUGUGUGAUUUCAAGAGCAUGGGAUGGAACAGUAAUGGACUUGGAUAUGGGGGAGACAGAGAUGGGGACAGUGAGGGGGACAGAGAUGUCAAGGAUAGUAUGCAGUGUGUAGGGUUCUGCUCGAGCAACUGAGUGGCUAGUUGUUCUAGUUACCAAGCUGGGGAACCCUAGGAGGAGAGCAGAUUGAGGGAAAAGGGCCAGUAAAGUACCUGAUGCCUGUGCAAUCAUACAGAACUAUCUAUUAGUACAGUGGUAUCUUCUUAAGUGAAAUACCCUUAAGACUAGAAAUGUCUCCUGUCUAAAGAAAAGGCUAACAUGACAGAAUUUGGGCAGAACAACAGGCACUGGCACCACCACCCUUGCCUGAUGCUGCCAAAGGCCCUGGCUCCUUUAUCUCCAGCCAUGUGGGCCCUUCUCUGUAGAUUCUGGCUUGAGGUUCCAUCCCCUCCUUGCCCAGCUGUCCACACGUUUACAUAAGCUUCUAUCUAAUCUGCCACACUCCAAUCUGGUGUCUUAGUCCAUUUUGUGUUGCUAUAACAGAAUACCUGAGGCUAGGUAAUUUACAUAGAAAAUAGGCUUAUUUGGCUCAUGAUUCUGGUGACUGGAAAGUCCAAGAUUGGGCAGCUGCACCUGGUGAGGGCUUCCUGCCAUUGCCACUCAUGGCAGAAAACGAAGUGUGCAGAGACCACAUGGUGAAAGAGGAGGAAAGAGAGUAUCAAGGAAGCUGAACUAACUUUUAUAAUAACCUGCUUUCAGGUGACUAAUCCAGAGCUGUGAGAGCAGGAACUCACCCCCAUGGAAGAGCAUUCAUUAUUCACGAGGGAUCCUCCCCACGACCUAAACACUUCCCAGUAGGCUGCACCUCCCAACACUGCCACACUGGAUGAACCACCUCCAAACCACACCAUAGCUGGUGUCUGUGCCAUGGCCCUAUCUAUUUCAGUUUAUGGAUUCAGGGUCCAGGUAUCUGCAUUCAAUUUCUCUCAGUAAAAACCAGAAAAUCAUUACACUCCCCCACAGUUAGUCCCCCAGGGCAAAAGCAAAAUGAUUUACUGGGAAGUGGAUGAAGAGGACAAGAAUCUGACGCCCACUCAAGGAAUAAAUACUUUAGAAGC